rnacentral:rRNA from 1 species
CCUACGGGAGGCAGCAGUGAGGAAUAUUGGUCAAUGGACGCAAGUCUGAACCAGCCAUGCCGCGUGCAGGAAGACGGCUCUAUGAGUUGUAAACUGCUUUUGUACGAGGGUAAACGCAGAUACGCGUAUCUGUCUGAAAGUAUCGUACGAAUAAGGAUCGGCUAACUCCGUGCCAGCAGCCGCGGUAAUACGGAGGAUUCAAGCGUUAUCCGGAUUUAUUGGGUUUAAAGGGUGCGUAGGCGGUCGGAUAAGUUAGAGGUGAAAUCCCGAGGCUCAACUUCGGAAUUGCCUGUGAUACUGGUCGGCGAGAGAGUAGUUGCGGUAGGCGGAAUGUAUGGUGUAGCGGUGAAAUGCUUAGAGAUCAUACAGAACACCGAUUGCGAAGGCAGGUUAACAAGCUACUUCUGACGUUGAGGCACGAAAGCGGGGGGAGCAAACAGGAUUAGAGACCCGAGUAGUC